GACGAACGCUGGCGGCGUGCUUAACACAUGCAAGUCGAACGGAAAGGCCUGCUUUCCCUUGUGGAUUGCGGGUGCUCGAGUGGCGAACGGGUGAGUAACACGUGAGUGAUCUGCCCCCAACUUGGGUAUAAGCCUGGGAAACUGGGUCUAAUUCCCGAUAGGACUGCAGGGUGGUGCCUGUGGUGGAAAACGAUUUUCUAGUGGUUGGGGAUGCGCUCGCGGCCUAUCAGCUUGUUGGUGGGGUAAUGGCCUACCAAGGCGGCGACGGGUAGCCGGCUUGAGGGGGUGGACGGCGACAUUGGGACUGAGAAACGGCCCCGACUCCGACGGGAGGCAGCAGUGGGGAAUAGUGCAAAAGGGGCGGAAGCCUGAUGCAGCGACGCCGGGUGGGGGAUGACGUCCUUCGGGUUGUAAACUCCUUUCGACCGCGAGGAAGCCUCCUGGUUGGAAGGGUGGUGACGGUAGUGGUAGAAGAAGCACCGGCUAACUACGUG
rnacentral:rRNA from 1 species